AUCCAGCUGACGAGUCUCAAAUAGGACGAAACGCACGUCCUGGUU
rnacentral:hammerhead_ribozyme from 1 species